CAGUCGCCGCGGGAACACGUAGGGUGCAAGCGUUAAUCGGAAUUACUGGGCGUAAAGCGUGCGCAGGCGGUUAUAUAAGUCAGAUGUGAAAUCCCUGGGCUCAACCUGGGAACUGCAUUUGAGACUGUAUGGCUAGAGUGUGUCAGAGGGGGGUAGAACUCCACGUGUAGCAGUGAAAUGCGUAGAUAUGUGGAGGAAUACCGAUGGCGAAGGCAGCCCCCUGGGAUAACACUGACGCUCAUGCACGAAAGCGUGGGGAGCAAACAGGAUUAGAUACCCGCGUAGUCCCUGUCUCUUAUAC
rnacentral:rRNA from 1 species